GAAGCUAUAGGUUAAGUAGAAAACUGUUGGCCUUCAAGGCCGGAGAUGAGAUAUUCUAGCUUUG
rnacentral:tRNA from 1 species